UACGGGGGGUGCGAGCGUUGUCCGGAAUCAUUGGGCGUAAAGAGUUCGUAGGUGGUAUGUUAAGUCUGGUGUUAAAGGCAGAGGCUCAACUUCUGUAUGGCACUGGAUACUGGCAAACUAGAAUGCGGUAGAGGUAAAGGGAAUUCCUGGUGUAGCGGUGAAAUGCGUAGAUAUCAGGAGGAACAUCGGAGGCGUAAGCGCUUUACUGGGCCGUAAUUGACACUGAGGAACGAAAGCCGGGGUAGCAAAU
rnacentral:rRNA from 1 species